rnacentral:lncRNA from 1 species
AUCCUGUCAAGUCAGUUUAGCCAGAAUCUCCACCCUUGGUAUCUGAUCAAAUCCCUCCUCUCCCACCACCACAAGUGUGUGGCACCCCUCCCUUCUCUCUCAUUCCUCCUGCUGCCACCAUUUGAAGUGCUGGCUCUGAGGCUUGAAAGAGAAAAGCCCUCCUCUGGGCCUCAAGUGGGUGGCAGUUGGGAAACCGUUGCUGCGUGUACCCAGCGCCCUGAGUGCUGGGCAGGGCCGUGUCCUCCUGGAGGUGGCUAGCAUAACACGCAGCACGUGGAUUUCGACACUUUGGGCAUCUUCACACGCCAAAGAGCUGUGGACACUGAGAAGGUUGGCUUCUGGGAGAGGCUGGAGGUUGGGGUGGCGCUCCCAGGCGUAGUUCUGUGACUUGAGUCUUUGGGGGUUAGUGAUUCUGAAACUAGAAAGGGGGCUGGAGCCAGUCAGGGGGCACGUGUGACCUUCGGGACAGAGGUGGCUUCUGGAUGCCUGUGUGUCCCAGCCUUUGACUUGGGUGAGCCUGUGUGAAUGCUCAGAGCUUCCUGGCUAUUAAAGUGUGGAUUUUAAAGCAACUGCUCAAAGCAGUUCAGGAAAUGAGUACGCGCGGCUGCUAUGGUUUGGGUGUUUGUCCAGGUGUCAGGCUGUUCUCGCAUUGCUGUAAAGAAAUACCUGAGACUGGGUCAUUUAUAAAGAAGAGGUGAGACUGGCGCAUGGUUCUGCAGGCUGUACAGGAAGCAUGGUGCUGGCAUCUGCCUGGCUUCUAGGGAGCCUCAGGAAGCCUUUAAUCAUGGUGGACGGUGAGGGGGAGUAGGUAUGUCACAUGGCGAAAACAGGAACAAGCAAGAGAGAGUGAGUGGGGAGGCGCCACACACUUUUAAAGACGACCAGAUGUCCUGUGAACUCAUUACUCACUGUCUCCAAGGGGAUGGCCCAAGAUUCAGGAGGGACCCACCCCCAUGAUCCAGUCACCUCCCACCAGGCCCCGCCUCCAGCAUUGGGGAUUACGGUUCAGCGUGAGAUCUGGGCGGGGACAAACAUCCAGGCUCCAUCAGUCCCCUUCCAGUCUCACGCUGAAGCAUGAUUUCCAGUGCUGGAGGCGGGCCUGCUGGGAGGUGAUUUCCAGUGUUGGAGGUGGGCCUGGUGGGAGGGGAUUGGCCCAUGGAGGCGGAUCCCUCAUGAAUGGUCUAGCACCGUCCCCUUGGUGAUAAGGGAGUUCUCAGUUCACAAGAGAUCUGGUUGUUUUAAAAGAGUGGGGCUUCCUCCCUCUCUCUUGCUGCCCCUUUGCCUCCCUCCACGAGUGGAAGCUUCCUGAGGCCCUCCCCAGAAACAGAUGCCGGCGCCAUGUUGGUGCAGCCUGUUGAACUGUGAGUGAAUGAAACCUUUUUUCUUUGCCACUUACUCAGCCUCAGGUAU